CUUGUGGAGGACAGGGCUCCAGCCCAGGGUAACUCACUCCCCUUUCUUCUCUUGCUUCCUCAGAUGGUGGCAGUAGCGGCUUUUCCAGUAUAGGUUAUUACCAGAUAUUGAAUUGACUCUGCUGAAAGCCAGCUGAUAGGCUUCCACUAUUUGCCUCUCCUCAUGACUACAGUGAAACCACAACUGACUGCUAAACAAGCAUCAAA